rnacentral:rRNA from 1 species
UACGGGGGGGGCAAGCGUUGUUCGGAAUUACUGGGCGUAAAGGGUUCGUAGGUGGCCAACUAAGUCGGACGUGAAAUCCCUCAGCUUAACUGGGGAACUGCGUCCGAUACUGGAUGGCUUGAGUUUGGGAGAGGGAUGCGGAAUUCCAGGUGUAGCGGUGAAAUGUGUAGAGAUCGGGAGGAACACCGGUGGCGAAGGCGGGUCUCUGGGCAAUUCCUGACGCUGAGGCGCGAAAGCGUGGGGAGCAAACGGG